rnacentral:rRNA from 1 species
AACGAACGCUGGCGGCAUGCCUAACACAUGCAAGUCGAACGAAGCCUUCGGGCUUAGUGGCGCACGGGUGCGUAACGCGUGGGAAUCUGCCCUUGGGUUCGGAAUAACAGUUAGAAAUGACUGCUAAUACCGGAUGAUGUCUUAGGACCAAAGAUUUAUCGCCCAAGGAUGAGCCCGCGUAGGAUUAGGUAGUUUGUGGGGUAAUGGCCCACCAAGCCGACGAUCCUUAGCUGGUCUGAGAGGAUGAUCAGCCACACUGGGACUGGAACACGGCCCAGAAUCCUACGGGAGGCAGCAGUGGGGAAUAUUGGACAAUGGGCGAAAGCCUGAUCCAGCAAUGCCGCGUAAGUGAUGAAGGCCUUAGGGUUGUAAAGCUCUUUUACCAGGGAUGAUAAUGACAGUACCUGGAGAAUAAGCUCCGGCUAACUCCGUGCCAGCAGCCGCGGUAA